rnacentral:rRNA from 1 species
AGAUUGAACGCUGGCGGCAUGCCUAACACAUGCAAGUCGAACGGGAGUAGCAAUACUCUAGUGGCGGACGGGUGAGGAAUACGUAGGAAUUUGCCCUUAAGUGGGGGAUAACCCGGGGAAACCCGGAUUAAUACCGCAUGACCUCGAAAGAGCAAAGUGGGGGAUCG